AAGAAGUAGGGGCGGGGGGAAGUUUAGGAGUUGAGGAAAGAAGAUUAAAGAGCGCGAGGAGAUCUCACAGACCAGUGGAAUAAAGGCCUUUUGCAUAUGAAGAUCAGGUGACAAGUUAACUGGCUACCAGCCUCCAAAGCAAUACGCCCUUUCAUGUCACACAAAAAGAAGUGUUAAGAAUUGCCCUUUGAGACUCUGAAGACUAAAGAGUACCUGAUAAAUUGCAAGUCUGUUUGUGCCCCAUAGCUGCACAG